rnacentral:rRNA from 1 species
GACGAACGCUGGCGGCGUGCCUAACACAUGCAAGUCGAACGGAGUGUUUAUUUAUAAACACUUAGUGGCGAACGGGUGAGUAACGCGUAGACAACCUACCCUCUAGAUGGGGACAACACCGCGAAAGUGGUGCUAAUACCGAAUGUUGUAAUGUUGUUGCAUAAUGAUAUUACUAAAGGUGGCCUCUAUAUAAAAGCUACCGAUAGAAGAUGGGUCUGCGUCUGAUUAGCUAGUUGGUGAGAUAACAGCUCACCAAGGAAAUGAUCAGUAGCCGGUCUGAGAGGAGGAACGGCGACACUGGGACUCAGAACCAGCCCGGACUCCUACGGGAGGCAGCAGAGGGGAAUCUUCCGCAAUGGACGAAAGUCUGACGGAGCAGCGCCGCGUGAGUGAAGAAGGUUUUCGGAUCGUAAAGCUCUGUCUUCAAGGACGAAUGUAGAUAUUGUGAAUAAUGAUAUUUAAUGACGGUACUUGAGGAGGAAGCCACGGCUAACUACGUGCCAGCCGCCGCCGUAA